AUGGAUACUAGCCAGAUUUGUUUCCAUUGCGCCAGGACAGGAACUCCAAGGUGCAUCUCUCUUUUCUUUUCUUUCUUUCUUUCUUUUUUUUUUUUUUUUUUCAGUCGAGUUUCCCACAUUUGGGGAAAUCGCAGGGGUCAGCACAUCCGGAGUGCAAUGGAUAAGCCUCGCCCUGGGAAAACCACCUUCGUGAUCAUGGUAUCUCCCCUGCCAGGUAAGUAUGAGUUGCCGGCCUCGCCUGCCUCCUCACCCUCCGACCCCAGACACUUCGCACAGACGGUCACUCCAGUCACGGACCCGCUACACCACCGCCUGCACCCAAACGACGCCUCAAAACCACAAAAGCCUGGCGAAAACACGCUGGACGCUGGAACUCCUGCCAAAAGUAAGCACAGUAUGCAGAAAGGGAACAGGACCAGCAGCCACUGCGCUCAUCUACAUACUCCAAGCAUCGCCUAGUGACAUCACUCGGCAGCGCCCGACGACUCUAUCCCCGGCCUUGCUUGAUGCGGUAGCUGACUAACAACCCACCAACAUGUCCGCGCCCCAAUCCCUGGAACCUGUGACUGUUACCUCCCUUUGGGGCAAAACGAUUUUAUGGAGUUCCCUGGUGAUCUACUGGUUAGGACUUAGCACCUUCACCAGUGCAGCCUGGGUUCCGUCCCAUCCGGAGAGAUCCCAGGGGUCAGCACAUCUGGGAACUGACAUUCCACAUCAAGCCACUGCAC
rnacentral:lncRNA from 1 species